CCUACGGGAGGCAGCAGUGGGGAAUAUUGCACAAUGGGCGCAAGCCUGAUGCAGCCAUGCCGCGUGUGUGAAGAAGGCCUUAGGGUUGUAAAGCACUUUCAGCGAGGAGGAAGGCAUCACACUUAAUACGUGUGGUGAUUGACGUUACUCGCAGAAGCAGCACCGGAUAACUACGUGCCAGCAGCCGCGGUAAUACGGAGGGUGCAAGCGUAGAUCGUAAUUACUGGGCGUAAAGCGCACGCAGGCGGUUUGUUAAGUCAGAUGUUAAAUCCCCGCGCUUAACGUGGGAACUGCAGUUGAAACUGACAAGCUAGAGGCUUGUAGAGGGGAGUAGUAUUCCAGGUGUAGCGGUGAAAUGCGUAGAGAUCUGGAGGAAUACCGGUGGCGAAGGCGGCCCCCUGGACAAAGACUGACGCUCAGGUGCGAAAGCGUGGGGAGCAAACAGGAUUAGAUACCCUAGUAGUC
rnacentral:rRNA from 1 species